rnacentral:rRNA from 1 species
CAAUAGCGUAUAUUAAAGUUGUUGCAGUUAAAAAGCUCGUAGUUGGAUUUGUGGCGUACGGUGUGUUCCGGGCACUUGUUGUCUGAGUAACCUGCUGUUGCCAUCCUUGGGUGGAACCUGUGUGGCAUUAGGUUGUCGUGCAGGGGAUGCCCAUCAUUUACUGUGAAAAAAUUAGAGUGUUCAAAGCAGGCUUAUGCCGUUGAAUAUAUUAGCAUGGAAUAAUGAGAUAGGACUUUCUUGCUAUUUUGUUGGUUUGCGCAAAGAGGUAAUGACUAAUAGGGACAGUUGGGGGUAUUCGUAUUCCAUUGUCAGAGGUGAAAUUCUUGGAUUUUUGGAAGACGAACUACUGCGAAAGCAUUUACCAAGGAUGUUUUCAUUAA